rnacentral:rRNA from 1 species
AGUGAACGCUGGCGGUAGGCCUAACACAUGCAAGUCGAACGGCAGCACAGAGGAGCUUGCUCCUUGGGUGGCGAGUGGCGGACGGGUGAGGAAUACAUCGGAAUCUACUCUGUCGUGGGGGAUAACGUAGGGAAACUUACGCUAAUACCGCAUACGACCUACGGGUGAAAUCAGGGGACCUUCGGGCCUUGCGCGAUUGAAUGAGCCGAUGUCGGAUUAGCUAGUUGGCGGGGUAAAGGCCCACCAAGGCGACGAUCCGUAGCUGGUCUGAGAGGAUGAGCAGCCACACUGGAACUGAGGCACGGUCCAGACUCCUACGGGAGGCAGCAGUGGGGAAUAUUGGACAAUGGGCGCAAGCCUGAUCCAGCCAUGCCGCGUGGGUGAAGAAGGCCUUCGGGUUGUAAAGCCCUUUUGUUGGGAAAGAAAUCCAGCUGGCUAAUACCCGGUUGGGAUGACGGUACCCAAAGAAUAAGCACCGGCUAACUUCGUGCCAGCAGCCGCGGUAA